CUACGGGUUGCUGCAGUGAGGAAUAUUGCACAAUGGGGGGAACCCUGAUGCAGCAACGCCGCGUGGAGGAUGACGCAUUUCGGUGUGUAAACUCCUUUUAUAUGUCAAGAGAAUGACGGUAGCAUAUGAAUAAGCACCGGCUAACUCCGUGCCAGCAGCCGCGGUAAUACGGAGGGUGCAAGCGUUACUCGGAAUCACUGGGCGUAAAGGACGCGUAGGCGGGUUGGAAAGUCAGGUGUGAAAUCCUACAGCUUAACUGUAGAACUGCACUUGAAACUUCUAAUCUAGAGUAUGGGAGGGGGAGAUGGAAUUAGUGGUGUAGGGGUAAAAUCCGUAGAUAUCACUAGGAAUACCUAAAGCGAAGGCGAUCUCCUGGAACAUAACUGACGCUAAGGCGUGAAAGCGUGGGGAGCAAACAGGAUUAGAUACCCGAGUAGUC
rnacentral:rRNA from 1 species